CGGCGAAGUGAAGCGGCAACAAGCUCAAAUUUGAAAUCUGGCUUCGGCCCGAAGUUGUAAUUUGCAGAGGAAGCUUCUGGCGCGGCGCCGUCCGAGUCCCCUGGAACGGGGCGCCAUAGAGGGUGAGAGCCCCGUAUGGAUGGAUGCCUAGCCUGUGUGAAGCUCCUUCGACGAGUCGAGUAGUUUGGGAAUGCUGCUCAAAAUGGGAGGUAAAUUCCUUCUAAAGCUAAAUAUUGGCCAGAGACCGAUAGCGCACAAGUAGAGUGAUCGAAAGAUGAAAAGCACUUUGAAAAGAGGGUUAAAUAGCACGUGAAAUUGUUGAAAGGGAAGCGCUUAUGACCAGACUUGCGCCAGGCUGAUCAUCCGGUGUUCUCACCGGUGCACUCUGCCUGGCUCAGGCCAGCAUCGGUUUCAGCGGGGGGAUAAAGGCCUAGGGAACGUAGCUCCUCCGGGAGUGUUAUAGCCCUGGGUGCAAUGCCCCCGCCGGGACCGAGGUUCGCGCAUCUGCAAGGAUGCUGGCGUAAUGGUCAUCAGCGAC
rnacentral:rRNA from 1 species